AAAGAGGGCUUUGAAAUAGGAAUACCGGUGGAAUCAAGAUGUGCCCAUCCUAUUUUUUUUCGAACGACGCAUGAAAGUUAGAGAGAUGAAGAUGAGCAGAGCAAUAGUGAUGAAGGAAGAGGCUUUCGAGAUGUCGUACCACUAGCCUCCAAAGAUUUAGCUGAAAAGUUUGUAAGAGUAUACUCCACGAGCAAAGAUGAUAGAAGACUUACAAUGCAAAGCCUUAACAUGAUAGCGACUCUCAUU